CAGACCCUUAGAACACUAUCAUCUGAGAAGUUCUACAUUAGAAGGAAAAAGAAAGGAAAAAAGGAAGUUGGGAGGAUUGGUGUUGACAGCAGAUCAACUGGGAGAGUCUAAAUGACAGAAUUUAGGAAUCCUUACUCUCUGAAGAGAGAUGCUAACAAGGAGCCAGGAAAAGCAUUGUAUGUGAAGGAGUCCAACCAGGACAGAAAAUGCAGAAGAGAUGGCUUUGUAAUACUGGAAGCCCACUCUCACAGACCGUGUUACCACACAGAAUCCCAUGUGAAGAGUCUUCUACCAAUAUAUCAAUACCUGAUGAGCCAUGGUCUUUCUCCACUGUCUCUGGUACCAUAAAAACGGAAACCCAAGUUCAUCAGGAU
rnacentral:lncRNA from 1 species